rnacentral:rRNA from 1 species
UACGUAGGUGGCAAGCGUUGUCCGGAUUUACUGGGCGUAAAGAGCGCGCAGGUGGCCGUCUAAGUCGCGUGUGAAAGCCCCCGGCUCAACUGGGGAGGGUCACGCGAUACUGGUCGACUCGAAGGCAGGAGAGGGUAGUGGAAUUCCCGGUGUAGUGGUGAAAUGCGUAGAUAUCGGGAGGAACACCAGUGGCGAAGGCGGUUCUCUGGGACGGUACUGACGCUGAGACGCGAAAGCGUGGGGAGCGAACAGG